rnacentral:rRNA from 1 species
ACGGGAGGCAGCAGUAGGGAAUCUUCCGCAAUGGACGAAAGUCUGACGGAGCAACGCCGCGUGAGUGAUGAAGGUUUUCGGAUCGUAAAGCUCUGUUGUUAGGGAAGAACAAGUGCGAGAGUAACUGCUCGCACCUUGACGGUACCUAACCAGAAAGCCACGGCUAACUACGUGCCAGCAGCCGCGGUAAUACGUAGGUGGCAAGCGUUGUCCGGAAUUAUUGGGCGUAAAGGGCUCGCAGGCGGUUUCUUAAGUCUGAUGUGAAAGCCCCCGGCUCAACCGGGGAGGGCCAUUGGAAACUGGGAAACUUGAGUGCAGAAGAGGAGAGUGGAAUUCCACGUGUAGCGGUGAAAUGCGUAGAGAUGUGGAGGAACACCAGUGGCGAAGGCGGCUUACUGGACUGUAACUGACGUUGAGGCUCGAAAGCGUGGGGAGCAAACAGGAUUAGAUACCCUGGUA